CAAAACAAAACAAACAAAACAAUUUGAUAAAUCUAUUUGUAUAUAGUGUAAUAUAGUGUAUAUACAUAAAUAAUUAAACAACUUUGAACAUACAUUUUUAAACCUUACUUAAGUUUGAGAAAUAAAAUUGAAAAUUUUAUAAGUGCACGAAGUGCACGCAAUGAAAUUAAGAUUUUAUGAUCAAACUUAAGUAAGGUAUGGGUCCCCACCCACCCGACCGCUUUGUUUGGGCGUGUGUAUUUACGUAUAUUCAUUAAGAUUUAUAAUCUUAUUUCCUUUGUUUUUGCAGUACAUCUUUCAAAAAGGAUUAACGGAUGAAGACAAGAGAGAUUGUUGUCAGUUAAUAUAAAAAAGAAGACGAAAAAGACGGUUUAUAGAACUUUUAUUUCGUGGGGACAGUUAGCAUGGAGAGACAAUUUUUGAUUUCGUUAUUAUAAUUUUGUGGAAAAGACCACAUUUGUUAUAUACAACUGGAAGUAAUAAAAUGAUUGAUUAAGAAGUUCUUUUUGAAAUGGCAUUUUAAUUGAUGGAAAAGGGUACUUUUGUCAAUGAGAUAACUCCAUCGUUACUUUUGCAUACUGAGGAAAUUAGGCAAUGUUUUAAAGCAACUCAAACACACAAAAAAAAAAAGAAGAAAAAAAAUGAUGAAUUCAAAUCUUUCCAUAUUCAGCCUCGUUAAGAAGGAUGCAUCAUGGGAAUUUUCCCAUGAGGCAUAGCUUUGAAGGGCUCUAUAUGGGGAAUUCAGGAAGAAUACAUUUUUAAACCUUACUUAAGUUUGAUCAUAAAAUCUUAAUUUCAUUGCGUGCACUUCGUGCACUUAUAAAAUUUUCAAUUA
rnacentral:lncRNA from 1 species